UACGUGGGGGGCAAGCGUUGUUCGGAAUUACUGGGCGUAAAGGGCUCGUAGGUGGCCAACUAAGUCAGACGUGAAAUCCCUCGGCUUAACCGGGGAACUGCGUCUGAUACUGGAUGGCUUGAGUUCGGGAGAGGGAUGCGGAAUUCCAGGUGUAGCGGUGAAAUGCGUAGAUAUCUGGAGGAACACCGGUGGCGAAGGCGGCAUCCUGGGCCGACACUGACGCUGAGGAGCGAAAGCCAGGGGAGCAAACGGG
rnacentral:rRNA from 1 species